GAUGAACGCUAGCGGCAGGCUUAAUACAUGCAAGUCGAGGGGCAACAUGGUGUAGCAAUACACUGAUGGCGACCGGCAAACGGGUGCGGAACACGUACAGAACCUUCCUUCGAGCGGGGAAUAGCCCAGAGAAAUUUGGAUUAAUACCCCAUAGUAUAAUGAAGAGGCAUCUCUUUAUUAUUAAAGAUUUAUCACUUGAAGAUGGCUGUGCGGCUGAUCAGGUAGUUGGCGGGGUAACGGCCCACCAAGCCUACUAUAAGUAACUGGUGUGAGAGCACGACAAGUCACACGGGCACUGAGACACGGGCCCGACUCCUACGGGAGGCAGCAGUAAGGAAUGUUGGUCAAUGGACGAAAGUCUGAACCAGCCAUGCCGCGUGGAGGAUGAAGGUCCUCUGGAUUGUAAACUUCUUUUAUAUGGGACGAAAAAAGACUUUUCUAAGUCGUCUGACGGUACCAUAUGAAUAAGCACCGGCUAACUCCGUGCCAGCCGCCGCAGUAACAC
rnacentral:rRNA from 1 species